rnacentral:rRNA from 1 species
UACGAAGGGGGCUAGCGUUGCUCGGAAUCACUGGGCGUAAAGCGCAUGUAGGCGGAUCGUUAAGUCGGGGGUGAAAUCCUGGAGCUCAACUCCAGAACUGCCUUUGAUACUGGCGAUCUUGAGUCCGGGAGAGGUGAGUGGAACUCCGAGUGUAGAGGUGAAAUUCGUAGAUAUUCGGAAGAACACCAGUGGCGAAGGCGGCUCACUGGCCCGGUACUGACGCUGAUGCGCGAAAGCGUGGGGAGCAAACGGG